rnacentral:rRNA from 1 species
UGGGGAAUAUUGCACAAUGGGCGAAAGCCUGAUGCAGCGACGCCGCGUGAGGGAUGACGGCCUUCGGGUUGUAAACCUCUUUCAGCAGGGAAGAAGCGAAAGUGACGGUACCUGCAGAAGAAGCGCCGGCUAACUACGUGCCAGCAGCCGCGGUAAUACGUAGGGCGCAAGCGUUGUCCGGAAUUAUUGGGCGUAAAGAGCUCGUAGGCGGUUAGUCGCGUCUGCUGUGAAAACUCGAGGCUCAACCUCGGGCUUGCAGUGGGUACGGGCUGACUAGAGUGCGGUAGGGGUGACUGGAAUUCCUGGUGUAGCGGUGGAAUGCGCAGAUAUCAGGAGGAACACCGAUGGCGAAGGCAGGUCACUGGGCCGCAACUGACGCUGAGGAGCGAAAGCAUGGGGAGCGAACAGGAUUAGAUACCCUGGUAGUCCAUGCCGUAAACGUUGGGCACUAGGUGUGGGUCCAUUCCACGGAUUCCGUGCCGCAGCAAACGCAUUAAGUGCCCCGCCUGGGGAGCACGGCCGCAAGGCUAAAACUC